rnacentral:rRNA from 1 species
GACGAACGCUGGCGGCGUGCCUAAUACAUGCAAGUAGAACGCAGUUGCGAACGGGUGAGUAACGCGUAGGUAACUGCCUCAUAGCGGGGGAUAACUCUAGGAAACGAUAGCUAAUACCGCAUACUGUGCGAUGGACCUGCGUGGUAUUAGCUAGUUGGUGAGGUAAAGGCUCACCAAGGCGACGAUACAUAGCCGACGUGAGAGGGUUGACGGGCAACAUGGGACUGGGAAACGGGCCAGACCCCGACGGGAGGCAGCAGGAGGGAAGCAUUGGAAAUGGACGGAAAGCGGACUGAGCAACGCCGGGGUAGAGAAGAAGGUUUUUGGGUCGGAAAGCUCUGUUGUUAGGGAAGCGGUAACGAACCAGAAAGGGACGGCUAACUACGUGCCAGCAGCCGCGGUAAUUC